rnacentral:rRNA from 2 species
UGGGGAAUCUUGCGCAAUGGGCGAAAGCGUGACGCAGCAACGCCGCGUGAGCGAAGACGGCCUUCGGGUUGUAAAGCUCUUUCGGCCGGGAAGAAAUCGUGCAGGCUAAUACCCUGUAUGGAUGACGGUACCGGAAUAAGAAGCACCGGCUAACUACGUGCCAGCAGCCGCGGUAAUACGUAGGGUGCGAGCGUUAAUCGGAAUUACUGGGCGUAAAGCGUGCGCAGGCGGUUUUGUAAGACAGGCGUGAAAUCCCCGGGCUCAACCUGGGAACUGCGCUUGUGACUGCAAGACUAGAGUACGGCAGAGGGGGGUGGAAUUCCACGUGUAGCAGUGAAAUGCGUAGAGAUGUGGAGGAACACCAAUGGCGAAGGCAGCCCCCUGGGUCGAUACUGACGCUCAUGCACGAAAGCGUGGGGAGCAAACAGG